AGGAUGAACGCUGGCGGCGUGCCUAACACAUGCAAGUCGAACGUCCUGUCUCGCAAGAGGCAGGGAGUGGCGGACGGGUGAGUACCACGUGGGUCAUCUACCGUGAGGUGAGGAAUACCGGCGAGAAAUCGCCGACAAGACCGCAUAGGCUCGAUGCAAGUCGAGCAAAGCUCUUUCGAGAGAGGGAGCGCCACACGAGGAGCCUGCGCCCGAUUAGCUAGCUGGUGGAGUAACGGUUCACCAGGGCGACGAUCGGUAGCUGGUCUGAGAGGACGAUCAGCCACACUGGGAUUGAGAACGGCCCAGACUCCUACGGGGGGCAGCAGUGAGGAAUUUCGUCAAUGGGGGCAACCCUGAACGAGCAACGCCGCGUGCAGGAAGAAGGUUUCGGAUCGUAAACUGCUUUUCUCGGGAAGAGAACGGACGGUACCCGAGGAAUCAGCCCGGCUAACUACGCGCCAGCAGCCGCGU
rnacentral:rRNA from 1 species